rnacentral:rRNA from 1 species
UACGUAGGGUGCAAGCGUUGUCCGGAAUUACUGGGCGUAAAGAGCUCGUAGGUGGUCUUGUCACGUCGUCUGUGAAAUUCCACAGCUUAACUGUGGGCGUGCAGGCGAUACGGGCUGACUUGAGUACUGUAGGGGUAACUGGAAUUCCUGGUGUAGCGGUGAAAUGCGCAGAUAUCAGGAGGAACACCGAUGGCGAAGGCAGGUUACUGGGCAGUCACUGACGCUGAGGAGCGAAAGC